CCUACGGGAGGCAGCAGUAGGGAAUAUUGCUCAAUGGGGGAAACCCUGAAGCAGCAACGCCGCGUGAGGGAUGAAGGUCUUCUGAUCGUAAACCUCUGUCAGCAGGGAAGAACGGUCACUGUGCUAAUCAGCAGUGAAUUGACGGUACCUGCAAAGGAAGCACCGGCUAACUCCGUGCCAGCAGCCGCGGUAAUACGGAGGGUGCGAGCGUUAAUCGGAUUUACUGGGCGUAAAGCGCUCGUAGGCGGUAUGUCAAGUCAAGGGUGAAAUCCCCGCGCUCAACGUGGGAACUGCCUUUGAAACUGGCAAACUGGAGUGUGUGAGAGGAUGGUGGAAUUCCAGGUGUAGGAGUGAAAUCCGUAGAUAUCUGGAGGAACAUCAGUGGCGAAGGCGACUAUCUGGAACAUAACUGACGCUGAGGAGCGAAAGCGUGGGUAGCAAACAGGAUUAGAUACCCCAGUAGUC
rnacentral:rRNA from 1 species